AGCGAACGUUAGCGGCGGGCCUAACACAUGCAAGUCGAACGAGAAUGAGGGGGCAACUCCUCUAGUAAAGUGGCGGACGGGUGCGUAACACGUGGGUAAUCUACCUUCCGGCGGGGGACGAACAGUCCGAAAGGAUUGCUAAUACCGCGUACGUCAGCGAGGUCUACGGAUCUUGUUGGGAAAGAUGGCCUCUCCUUGGAAGCUGUCACCGGAAGAUGAGCCCGCGGCCCAUCAGCUAGUUGGGAGGUAAUGGCUCACCAAGGCUUAGACGGGUAGCUGGUCUGAGAGGAUGAUCAGCCACACUGGGACUGCGACACGGCCCAGACUCCUACGGGAGGCAGCAGUGGGGAAUAUUGGGCAAUGGGC
rnacentral:rRNA from 1 species